UACGAAGGGGGCUAGCGUUGUUCGGAAUCACUGGGCGUAAAGCGCACGUAGGCGGAUUUUUAAGUCAGGGGUGAAAUCCCGAGGCUCAACCUCGGAACUGCCUUUGAUACUGGGGAUCUGGAGUCCGGGAGAGGUGAGCGGAACUGCGAGUGUAGAGGUGAAAUUCGUAGAUAUUCGCAAGAACACCAGUGGCGAAGGCGGCUCACUGGCCCGAUACUGACGCUGAUGCACGAAAGCGUGGGGAGCAAACAGG
rnacentral:rRNA from 1 species